GGAGAGUUACCCAAGAGGCUGAAGGGGCGGGUUUGCUAAACCUGUAGGGCGGAAUUUUCUGUCGCGAGGGUUCGAAUCCCUCACUCUCCGCCA
rnacentral:tRNA from 1 species